rnacentral:rRNA from 1 species
UACGGAAGGGGCGAGCGUUGUUCGGAAUCAUUGGGCGUAAAGGGCGCGUAGGUGGUUCUGUAUGUCUACCGUGAAAGGGUACAGCUCAACUGUAGCUCGUCGGUAGAAACUGCUGGACUUGAGGCUGGGAGGGGCUGGUGGAAUUCCCUGUGUAGCGGUGAAAUGCGUAGAGAUGGGGGAGAACACUCGUGGCGAAGGCGGCCAGCUAGACCAGUUCUGACACUGAGGCGCGACAGCGUGGGGAGCAAACAGG